rnacentral:rRNA from 1 species
AGAGUUUGAUCCUGGCUCAGGAUGAACGCUAGCUACAGGCUUAACACAUGCAAGUCGAGGGGAAACGAUAUUGGAAGCUUGCUUCCGAUAGGCGUCGACCGGCGCACGGGUGAGUAACGCGUAUCCAACCUGCCCACCACUUGGGGAUAACCUUGCGAAAGUAAGACUAAUACCCAAUGAUAUCUCUAGAAGACAUCUGAAAGAGAUUAAAGAUUUAUCGGUGAUGGAUGGGGAUGCGUCUGAUUAGCUUGUUGGCGGGGUAACGGCCACCAAGGCGACGAUCAGUAGGGGUUCUGAGAGGAAGGUCCCCCACAUUGGAACUGAGACACGGUCCGAAACUACCUACCGGGAGGCA